rnacentral:rRNA from 1 species
UACGUAGGGUGCGAGCGUUGCCCGGAUUUAUUGGGCGUAAAGGGCGCGUAGGCGGUCACGCACGUCCGUUGUGGAAAUCCGCUCGGCUUCAACUGGGCCGGGGUCAAGCGGAUACGGCGUGGGCUGGAGCAAGCUAGGGGGCAAUGGAAUUCCCGGUGUAGUGGUGGAAUGCGUAGAUAGUCGGGAGGAACACCAGUGGCGAAGGCGGAUCUCUGGGCCUUACCUGACGCUGAGGCGACGGAAAGCUAGGGGAGCGAACAGGA